UGGCUCUUAUAAUCAGUCACCUACAGUCACAGGCAGCCACACACACUACAGCUGUCCACAGAGAGCACAGAGCACAGACCUGCACUUACACACAGGACUGUGGAGAUAUACAGUAAAAGGAGCACAAUGAUGAGGGUCAGCCUGCAAACUCUGAUGGCAUUUCUGAUGUUGAGCCAUGCAGUAACAUCUGGAUUAGUGCCUAAACUGUUUGAAACAGCAAUGCCCUCUUCCCCUCAAACUGCUUUCACUCCAACAGAAGCCAGCACAUCGGGGAGCACUAGUGACUGGAACACUUCAUCGAUAACAGAAGCCGUCGCCACAUCAUCCACAAAUAUCUCAAUUCAGAGUCCGAACCCGAGCACAGAAAUCGCCACUUCCACUGCUACACAAACAGAAAGUUCCAUCCCUGUCACCAGCACCCCCAGCACAAGCAAUACAACCCCUGUCAACAACACCAGCACCCCCCAGAGUGAAAGCCCCACUGGUGCCACCACCAGCACUGAUCAUGGCACCCCUACCAGCACUGAUCCUGGCACCCCUACCAGCACUGAUCCUGGCACUCCCACCAGCACUGAUCCUGGCACUCCCACCAGCACUGAUCCUGGCACCCCCACCAGCACUGACCCUGGCACCCAAAGCACCAAUUUAUCCACUACACAAUCCACCAACCUUUCCAGCACUACUGCAGAACCCACUACCAACACCCCCACUACACAACCCACCACCACAGAUGCCUCCACCACCCCCUCUAAACAACCCACCACCGCCACCACCACCCCCGCUCCCACUACACAACACACCACCACCUCCCGCAUCAGUACCACCACUGGCCCCAUGACCAGUACCAGCAGCAGCAAAACCACCAUCAGUGCCACCAUCAGUACCCCCCGAACCACCACAGAGGUGCAGGAGCCACACAACUCCAAGGCUCUAAGUUCAGGAAGUGUUGCAGCCAUCGUCAUUAUGUUCAUCAUCACUGUUGUCCUGGUGUUAGGUGGGCUGUACUACUACAAAAUACGACGUACAUCAUAUGGACGUCUUUUGGACAGGGACCAUGGAACCUUCCACAACCCAAUGUAUGACCCUUGAAUCUUAGCUUUCGGACUGGAAUCCACGAAACCUCUAAGCCAAAGGCCGGAGUGUGCUAUAGUGUGUCCGUAAUGAGUUCAGAAUGGUCACAUUUUAUCACUGUGACAUACAGCCUGAUAACUUCAUUGCGCUUAGUUGCAAAAUGCUAAAGUAGUGACAGUGACAUUUCUACUGAUCUGUGUUCAGGUAACCUCAGGUUAUAAAAUUGCACAUUUUACUCGGGUAGCUUUUCAUCGGCUCUGGCUGCACAGACACCAUGCAUGAAAGGAGGCAGGUUAAAAUCACAGUGGCCACAAGCAUGUUCACCAGAGGUAUCCUGAAUUGUAAAUUAUACGUUUUCUGUCUGACAUGUACAAAAUAGAUCAUAUUAUGUUAACUCAACCGGGGUGUUUUUUUUUAAAAGUAACGAAGCUAAAACACAGCAAGUGUACAGAGAUAGCUUAAAGGUUCAGUAUGUAUACAUUUUCAACCUGUUGAAUUCAUACUACAAACAAAUAGGGGGCAACAAGCACAAGAGUAAAUGCUAAUGGCUGCUAACUGUAGCUGUUGUUAGCUAGUUAGCUCAGGUAGCAGUGCAGUUAGCAGUCUUAUUAGCUGGUUUUGCCUGGACUGGGAGUACCAGGGAAGUGUCGGUAUUGUUUUUACCAGUUUGGAAAGCACUUAGAGGGUAAUGCAGCAUGGACAUGGGUGCCAGAACCAGAACUGGGCUUGUGUGCACUGGAUCAGGGGUCAGCAGCCUCCCAAUUUUGAAUCUUUUUAACAAAAAUGUUUACUUAUUACACUUUUAAGGCAGUAGGAGUAAUGAUAGGUGGGAAGAACCUCACUGACAAUUUUCAAAAAUAGGGCCCUUAAAUUGUGUGAUUUACAAAGAGCAUGCAUGAAUCGCAAAUAAUGUAUAGUAGAUCUUUAUCAUGACAGAAAAUGUGUUUUUUUUAAAUCAUGGAUUGUUCUUUUAGGCACCUGUGGAGCUAUUUUCUUACCUAAACUGUGAAAUUAGAUUUCUGUCGCUAAUGUAGCUAAAUGUUCAGAUUUUCGCAUUUUCACUGACCUAAUUGUAGCUGGCAGAAAACAUUGUAGUUUUGUAACCAGGAAAGUGAAAGCUGAGGCUUGCUUGCACAAAAUGUCUCCUAUGAGCUGGGAAGUAGACUUUUUAGACAACAUAAAGAGGUAUUGGCAGCUAAGGAGACUGCUUUGAGAAAAACUUUACAAGGGGAGUGAUAUCUCUUGCAUUCAUCCUGCUGACAUGGCCUUGAGCAAAACACUGAAUCCUUUCCUGCUCUAUGAGCUGAUCUGCUGCUGAGCCUGACUUUGACCUCCCUGUGAAGAAAACAAAAAACAAAUGUUUUUUCAUAGCAAUAUUCUAGAAUGAAACUAGAGAUUUUAGAAAAAUAUCCUAGAAAAUCUUAUUCACAUGUACAGGACCUCCCACACCUGAUCAACUACUGUUUAUAUGAGUGUGUAAUGUGAGUAUUUAAUUACAUGAGUUUUUUGUAUUACUGAAUGUUGUUAUUGUGAAAUUCUCCUCAUGUUUCAGUAUGACUUCACUUAGCUGUGCUAAGUAGCUCAGCCAGGCUGCAGUUAUGAUAGUGAUUUUAACUCCUUCAGUAUUUAAUAUAGUAUUUUCAGUUUACAUUCAGGUAAAGAGUGAUGUGACUGUUGUGAUGCUCUUGAAUGAAUUUAUUUCUGUGGUAAGAUUGUAUUAAAUUGUUUAUGCAUUAAAAUUGAUUGAAUAAUGUGAGUCCCUGUUAUGGUCAUUCAGAAGAAACCCAGAGAGAUAGUUUACAUGUAUUUACAGUAUA
rnacentral:lncRNA from 1 species